UCGAAGCAGCAAGAACCAUUGCUUGUGAUUUAAUACCCCUCAUGGUUGCUGGCUUCAGAUUGCAAAGAACACAGACCUUCCGGUUCUGCCACAGAAAAGUUAAUAUAAAUGAACUAAUGGACAACCACCUUCACUGCUUCAGCUUCUUCCCGCUCCUUCCUGUCCGCUUGACUUCCAGCAAACUUCUUCCUUAAGGACUCCACUUCUUCAUCUUUCUGUGUCCAAGUACAAACUUUCAUUAAAUUAGACUCUACAAAUAGGCAAGUGAUGCAGCAAUCAUAUCAUGGCAGGCUAGAGAGUGCAACAUUGAAAGACAAAGCACAUCAAAGACAUACCAAUUCCUUGAACAAUGGCUCUGGUUUCCCAAUCUUGUGACCAACAGGUACAAUCUCCCAAGGUCGUCUUGCCCUAUCAAUAUCUCCUUUAUCAUCACAAAGUGAUAUGUGCUUCUCAGGAGAGUAACACAAUCAUCUGCGAGCAGAAUUUUUUACUUCGAGAGAAAAUGAUGGCAUAAAAGGUUCCAACAAACAAGCAAGAAGAUGCACUAGUCCGACUGAAGUUCUGAUAACAACAGCGCAACGAGGUUGGUCCUCCUUGUAAAGCUUCCAGAACUGGCUUUCCUGCACGGUAAUUACAGAGGAUGCAACUUAGCAGCAGCUGAAUAAUCGGUUUCACAGUCAUUUCCAAGCAAUAUACUUAACAAAAGAACACAUCCAUAAACAAGUCUCUCAAACAGGGAUUAAAAACGUGCUUACUUGCAGAUACGCAUUCCCUUCACUAGAAAUGCUCAUUGCUGUUUUCAGUCCUUGCUUUAGUUUAACCUACACAAAAUGUAGAUGGAAUGUCAUGCCAAUGCAAGACACGUGUGAAAAAGGAAGGUGGGGAAGAGACGCUUCCAGUCAUUUGCAGCAAGACUGUCAUCUAAAUAUCAAUUACCUUCUCCAUUGCUUCUA